rnacentral:misc_RNA from 1 species
AAGUCGUAACAAGGUUUCCGUAGGUGAACCAGCGGAGGGAUCAUUACAGAGUUGCAAAACUCCCUUACCACCAUCGUGAACAGACCCCGAAACAGUUGCUUCGGCGGGAGGCAGUCCCCCCCUUCACCGGGGGCGGCCGGCCGCGACGCCCGCCGGAGGUACCCAAACUCUUUGUUUUAUAGGCCUCUCUGAGUCUUUGUACUGAAUAAGUCAAAACUUUCAACAACGGAUCUCUUGGUUCUG